rnacentral:misc_RNA from 1 species
GUAGGUGAACCUGCGGAAGGAUCAUUCAUAAUAAGUGUUUUACUGCACUUUUUAAAAAUAGUACUCACCUUGUGUGCAAUGUUGUGCUUCUUUUCGGAGAAACACCUACACCAACCAAUAACCUUAACCACUUUGUCUGAAAAACUAUUAUGAAUACUUAAUUCAAAAUACAACUUUCAACAACGGAUCUCUUGGCUCUC